AUGGAGUUGGUAUGUUGGAACAUGAGGGGACUGAACAACCCCGCCAAAAGGAAAGCGCUGAGGGAGUUUGUUGGCUCGAUCCAUACGACCAUCAUAUGUAUAUUAGAGACUAAGCUAGAGGUGGUAGAUCAAUUUGUAAUAAUGCAAUGUCUUGGGCCGGCGUAUGAUAGGUUCUUUUACCUUCCCGCCCCCGACACCCGGGGAGGAAUUUUUGUCGCUUGGGAUUCCUCUAAGGUGCAGUUGACAAAUUUUUUCAAUGACAGUAACUUUACCAUGGGUUACGUCACCCCCUUACAAGGGCCGGAUUGGUGGCUAACAAUGGUGUAUGGUCCUCAGGAGGACGCGGAGAAAACUCUCUUUUUGGAGGAACUUGUUGGGGAACGUAGUAAUUCAAAAAAAUUCCUACGCACACGCAGGAUCAUGGUGAUGCAUAGCAACGAGAGGGGAGUGUUGUCUACAUACCCUCGUAGACCGUAA
rnacentral:rRNA from 1 species